rnacentral:lncRNA from 1 species
CUAACAUCUAUUGUUGCUUUUAAGUCACAACCACAUAUCACAGUUAAAUAUACUCCCUCCAUACUGAAAAAAAUAGACGUUUAGGACAUGAUUGUGAUAACCAAGGAGUCAUUAAGUAGAGGUUAUUUUUCCUUCUUUGCUUUUAUUAAAUAGGCUGCCGGGUGCCUAUUAUCUAAGAAAGAUUCGUAGUUCUAUUGGCUAGCAAGCGAGAGUUGGGAGGUUGGCCGUUAGGUGGUCGGUUCGAUCCCUGGUGGCCGCGCUAUUUUUUGGCACUGAGUAGAUUUUUCGACGGAGUCCGGAACCAUGUCGACGGAGUUUG